rnacentral:rRNA from 1 species
GACGUAGGGUGCAAGCGUUGUCCGGAAUUAUUGGGCGUAAAGAGCUCGUAGGUGGCCUGUCGCGUCGGAUGUGAAAAUCCAAGGCUCAACCUUGGACCUGCAUUCGAUACGGGCAGGCUAGAGUUCGGUAGGGGAGACUGGAAUUCCUGGUGUAGCGGUGAAAUGCGCAGAUAUCAGGAGGAACACCGGUGGCGAAGGCGGGUCUCUGGGCCGAUACUGACGCUGAGGAGCGAAAGCGUGGGGAGCGAACAGG